rnacentral:rRNA from 1 species
UACGGAGGUGGCAAGCGUUGCUCGGAAUCACUGGGCGUAAAGGGCGCGUAGGCGGGGAGGUAAGUCGGGUGUGAAAUCCCUCGGCCCAACCGAGGAACUGCGCCCGAGACUGCUUCUCUUGAGUCCCGGAGAGGAAGAUGGAAUUCCCGGUGUAGCGGUGAAAUGCGCAGAUAUCGGGAGGAACACCGGUGGCGAAGGCGGUUCUCUGGGCCUGACCUGACGCUGAGGAGCGAAAGCGUGGGGAGCGAACAGG